ensembl:rRNA 5S_rRNA 5S ribosomal RNA
GCUUACGGCCAUACCACCCUGAACACGCCCGAUCUCGUCAGAUCUCGGAAGCUAAGCAGGUCGGGCCUGGUUAGUACUUGGAUGGGAGACCGCCUGGGAAUACCAGGUGCUGUAAGCU